UGGGGAAUAUUGCGCAAUGGGCGAAAGCCUGACUCAGCGACGCCGCGUGAGGGAUGAAGGUUUUCGGAUCGUAAACCUCUGUCAGACGGGAAGAAACCGCACUGUGCUAAUCAGCAGUGCCUUGACGGUACCUUCAAAGGAAGCACCGGCUAACUCCGUGCCAGCAGCCGCGGUAAUACGGAGGGUGCAAGCGUUACUCGGAAUUACUGGGCGUAAAGCGCACGUAGGCUGCUUUGUAAGUCAGGGGUGAAAUCCCACGGCUCAACCGUGGAACUGCCUUUAAUACUGCUUAGCUUGAAACCGGGAGGGGGUGGCGGAAUUCCAGGAGUAGGAGUGAAAUCCGUAGAUAUCUGGAGGAACAUCAGUGGCGAGGGCGGCCACCUGGACCGGUAUUGACGCUGAGGUGCGAAAGCGUGGGGAGAAAACAGG
rnacentral:rRNA from 1 species